GGGUAAGUCUCUAGCCUCUCCUUUAAUUUUCGCUUCUUUUUGGAUUUUCUCGGGAAAGUAGCUGUAUUCUCGGUUGAAUCGGUUCCAUGCAAUGCAAAAACUGUGUUUUGCUGCUGUAUUGUUGUUGAAGAAUGGUUUAUCGGAAAAUUUUGUGAAACUUUGAGUGUUAUUUGGAAAAACUAUUUAGAAUUAGAUCCCUUUUGAUUUUCGCUUCGUUCUAAAAUUUAUUAGAGAGAAGUAUUUCUCUUACGGUUGAUUCGGUUUUACUUGAUUCUAUCUUGAUGGCGAUUGAUACUUUAAAAAAUGAGAGAUUUUUAGAGAAGAAUUUAUCGGGAAGGGACGAUUUUUAGAAAAUAAUAUUCCGAAAUUUCUGGAUCAUAAGUCAUCUCAGUUUUUGAACUAUGAAAUUUAUUGUUUUUUUUUUAAUUAAUUCACGAUCUCUGUUUUCAUUGGAUCCUAACGGGUAUUGUUCGGUUAUUGUAGUUGCAAAAUGUACCCAGACUUGAGCUUUGCCGGCGAGACGACCACGUCUGAGACCUUGGUCUUCGGCGUUGCACCGGCGAUGAAGAACCAGUACGAGGCUUCCGGCGAGAGUAACGCUGAGAACGAUGCUUGCAAGUGUGGAUCUGACUGCAAGUGUGACCCUUGCACCUGUAAAUGAAUAAACCCUUAUUAAAAGGCAGAGAGUAUCGAGUCUUUAAUUAAGUAAUAAUAUAACCCUAAUGGUGGUUUAGGUUUGGUUUAUUGUGUAAUAACGGCUGCAGCCCUGUCUUUUGUAGACGAUCAUGGUUUUCGUCUGUGUUUUGGUC
rnacentral:lncRNA from 1 species